rnacentral:misc_RNA from 1 species
GAUGAAGAACGUAGCGAAAGUGCGAAACGUAAUGUGAAUUGCAGAAUUCAGUGAAUCAUCGAAUCUUUGAACGCACAUUGCGCCCGCCAGUAUUCUGGCGGGCAUGCCUGUUCGAGCGUCAUUACAACCCUCAGGCCCCCGGGCCUGGCGUUGGGGAUCGGCGGAGCCCCCCGUGGGCACACGCCGUCCCCCAAAUGCAGUGGCGGUCCCGCCGCAGCUUCCAUCGCGUAGUAGCUAACACCUCGCGACUGGAGAGCGGCGCGGCCACGCCGUAAAACACCCAACUCUUCUGAAGUUGACCUCGAAUCAGGUAGGAAUACCCGCUGAACUUAAGCAUAUCAAUAAGCGGAGGA